AGUAAAUAGAUACCCUGGUAGUCCACGCCGUAAACGAUGUCGACUUGGAGGUUGUGCCUUGAGGCGUGGCUUCCGGAGCUAAACGCGUUAAGUCGACCGCCUGGGGAGUACGGCCGCAAGGUUAAAACUCAAAUGAAUUGACGGGGGCCCGCACAAGCGGUGGAGCAUGUGGUUUAAUUCGAUGCAACGCGAAGAACCUUACCUACUCUUGACAUCCAGAGAACUUAGCAGAGAUGCUUUGGUGCCUUCGGGAACUCUGAGACAGGUGCUGCAUGGCUGUCGUCAGCUCGUGUUGUGAAAUGUUGGGUUAAGUCCCGCAACGAGCGCAACCCUUAUCCUUUGUUGCCAGCGGUUAGGCCGGGAACUCAAAGGAGACUGCCAGUGAUAAACUGGAGGAAGGUGGGGAUGACGUCAAGUCAUCAUGGCCCUUACGAGUAGGGCUACACACGUGCUACAAUGGCGCAUACAAAGAGAAGCGACCUCGCGAGAGCAAGCGGACCUCAUAAAGUGCGUCGUAGU
rnacentral:rRNA from 1 species